rnacentral:rRNA from 1 species
CGUCCGCCCUGGGUUAGUCGGGACCUAAGGAGAGACCGAAAGGUGUAUCCGAUGGACAACAGGUUGAUAUUCCUGUACUAGAGUAUGUAGUGAUGGAGGGACGCAGUAGGCUAACUAAAGCAGACGAUUGGAAGAGUCUGUCUAAGCAGUGAGGCGUGGUAUGAGUCAAAUGCUUAUACCUAUAACGUUGAGCUGUGAUGGGGAGCGAAGUUUAGUAGCGAAGUUAGUGAUGUCACACUGCCGAGAAAAGCUUCUAGCGUUAAUUAUACUCUACCCGUACCGCAAACCGACACAGGUAGUCGAGGCGAGUAGCCUCAGGUGAGCGAGAGAACUCUCGUUAAGGAACUCGGCAAAAUGACCCCGUAACUUCGGGAGAAGGGGUGCUGGCUUAAAGUCAGCCGCAGUGAAUAGGCCCAAGCAACUGUUUAUCAAAAACACAGCUCUCUGCUAAAUCGUAAGAUGAUGUAUAGGGGGUGACGCCUGCCCGGUGCUGGAAGGUUAAGAGGAGUGCUUAGCGUAAGCGAAGGUAUGAAUUGAAGCCCCAGUAAACGGCGGCCGUAACUAUAACGGUCCUAAGGUAGCGAAAUUCCUUGUCGGGUAAGUUCCGACCCGCACGAAAGGCGUAAUGAUUUGGGCACUGUCUCAACGAGAGACUCGGUGAAAUUUUAGUACCUGUGAAGAUGCAGGUUACCCGCGACAGGACGGAAAGACCCCAUGGAGCUUUACUGCAGUUUGAUAUUGAGUGUCUGUGCCACAUGUACAGGAUAGGUAGGAGCCAUAGAGAUCGGGACGCCAGUUUCGAUGGAGGCGUUGUUGGGAUACUACCCUUGUGUUAUGGCCACUCUAACCCGGAUAGGUGAUCCCUAUCGGAGACAGUGUCUGACGGGCAGUUUGACUGGGGCGGUCGCCUCCUAAAAGGUAACGGAGGCGCCCAAAGGUUCCCUCAGAAUGGUUGGAAAUCAUUCGCAGAGUGUAAAGGUAUAAGGGAGCUUGACUGCGAGAGCUACAACUCGAGCAGGGACGAAAGUCGGGCUUAGUGAUCCGGUGGUUCCGCAUGGAAGGGCCAUCGCUCAACGGAUAAAAGCUACCCUGGGGAUAACAGGCUGAUCUCCCCCAAGAGU